AGCUGCGGUCCCGGAGCGGGCGAGGUGGUGGAGAGGGGGCUGCUUUCACCCUCUUGCGGGGAGGCCCCCUGGCUUCAGACUUAACUACUCGCAAAGUUGGGGCCGAACUUUGGGGCUUGACUUGUCUUGGCCGCCUGUGGAGCGCUGGAGAAGUGAAAAGGGCAUCAAGAGCAGCUGGUCUUGGCCGUCGCGCUGUUGUCUGGUCCCUAGCUGUUGGUAGUAAGUCCGGUUAUAAAUUUUUCUCCCUUUCUUCUGUGGAUAAGCUGGAACAGAUCUAUGAAUGCACCGAUACGGAAGAUGUGUGCAUUGUAGAGAGAUUGUUCUCCAGCAGCCUAGUGGCCAUCGUGAGCCUUAAAGCACCAAGGAAGCUAAAGGUUUGCCACUUUAAGAAGGGAACUGAGAUCUGCAACUACAGCUACUCCAACACGAUUCUGGCUGUGAAGCUCAACAGGCAGAGGCUGAUAGUAUGCCUGGAGGAGUCCCUGUACAUCCACAACAUUCGGGACAUGAAGGUGCUGCAUACGAUCAGGGAGACGCCUCCAAACCCUGCAGGCCUGUGUGCGCUGUCAAUCAACAACGACAACUGCUACUUGGCGUACCCCGGGAGCGCGACCAUCGGAGAGGUGCAGGUCUUCGAUACCAUUAAUUUGAGAGCUGCAAACAUGAUUCCGGCUCACGACAGUCCUUUAGCGGCACUGGCCUUUGACGCAAGUGGAACUAAACUUGCCACGGCUUCGGAGAA
rnacentral:sRNA from 1 species